rnacentral:sRNA from 1 species
AUAUCUUGAACGCACAUUGCGGCUUUGGGUCACUCCCGAAGCCACGCCUGUCUGAGGGUCGGUGAAACAUCUAUCGCAAACCGGAUUGUCGUUUGCGCUCUGGGUCGUCGCAGUUUCUUCUGGAAACUUCGUCACCUCAAAUGUAGACCGGUUUCUCCGAUCGACAAGUCUCUUUUUCUUUUGCGCGGAGGGACGCAUGCUCGGAUACACUGUACGCGUCGAACCGUUAGCGAGAAAAGAGAAUCGAUCAGAAGACCACUUCGGAGUAGUAGAGCAUUGAAUUGCUUCACAUUUCAUCUCUCCGACCUCAGAUCAGACGAGAGUACCCGCUGAAUUUAAGCAUAUCACUA